rnacentral:rRNA from 1 species
UACGAAGGGGGCUAGCGUUGCUCGGAAUCACUGGGCGUAAAGCGCACGUAGGCGGAUCUUUAAGUCAGGGGUGAAAUCCCAAGGCUCAACCUUGGAACUGCCUUUGAUACUGGGGAUCUCGAGUCCGGAAGAGGUUGGUGGAACUCCGAGUGUAGAGGUGAAAUUCGUAGAUAUCGGGAGGAACACCGGUGGCGAAGGCGGCGACCUGGGUGGAUACUGACGCUGAAGCGCGAAAGCGUGGGGAGCAAACAGG